rnacentral:lncRNA from 1 species
CACAGAUUCCUGACUAGGAACAGUUAGUGGAGAUGACUUUUUUUCUGCUUAAGCAGGGAAGUGUUUUUAGGAAGUCAGAUUUUUUUAUUAAGAAAAAUGCAGUUGUGAGAUGAAAGUGAAAAGGUAGCUCUAGGAAUCACAGGACAGUGUGGAUAAAAAUGAGCAAAAGCAGAACAGUUGAGCGUGGCUAUAUUGACCUAUCUAGGCAGGAAAAGGGAGGGGAGAGAGCCGAGGAUAUAUUGUGCCAAGAGAAUGAAGUCACACUGUGAAUAAUUGAGAAGCUGAUAAGAGAGAAAGAAAAAGGAUAACAGGCGCAGUGGUGAUUGAGCAUGACUUUAAUGAAGCCUUUUAGAUGAAUGGUUUAAUAGAGAGAGGAAUGCAAACAAGCAAUUAUUGUCAUAGGGGAAGAAUGGACAUGUUCUGGUAAUAGAAAAUUGAAGGGGUUUCUUUCCACACAGACAAAUCUGAAGGCAAUGUAAAAUCAAAAGAAAAUGGAGAUUCUCAGGUUAGUGAGAAAUGCAGCUUGCAUUUCUACAAAAAUAUAAAAUUUAAUAAGGGAGAAACUUUGGAAAAAAGACUGACAACAUUUUCUUCAUUUUAAGCCCCUGGUGGAUGCAAAGCAGAUCCAUUCCAGAGCAUCAUCCCAAGCAGUGGACUGACCCGUACUGCAGUAGGAAUCCAAGACAAGACUCCAGUCUUCUCUCUACCACCAAGGCAGAAUGGAUCCUGCACAGAAUGCCACAGUGUAUUUUUGUUCCUUGACUGUUUAACAUAGGGCCCAC